GAGGACAUGCUUGUUAAACAUUAACAAGUAGCCAGCAUUUUCAAGUGUCUGCUUACCAAUACCUCUGCCACGGGCUUCAGGGUGGGUUUUUGCAAGGUUUUUGCACGCUACAUUAAGCAAGCCUGGCUGUGUGCAAUCACCAGGAUUAGAUUCCUUUGGCUCUCUCCUUCUGGUGCCUAAUGGAAGGAAAAAAACAGGCAGUUGCUGAGCUGAGCAAUAUCAUCUCUGCCAGCCACUUGAGGAUGGGCACAGAGAACACGGGCUUGUGAAUGAUGCUGACUUUUCAUCUGAGAUUGCCUCUGAGAUUGCUGUGUCAUGGGAAGGACAAAGCAAGAGCCUGGCUCUCAUUUCCAGCACGCUGAGUCAUGGAGAAAACUGCUGCCGACCUCUCUCCAUCCCAAGGAGCACCAGCGCUGACCUCUGCAUUCCCAUCCCUAGAUUUCUGUGAAUGGGGCUUUCCAAAAACCUGUGGGUCUGAGCAAAACAAGGGGUGCACAGCAUAAACUGGGGAACACCUUCACAGCACCAAAACUGAUCAGAAACAACUUUCUUCCCUUCUUCCUUUAAAAAAAAAAAAGACCGUUCUGUGUGACUACUGGGCUCCCCAGGCAAUAUCUGACAACCUCUGCUCCCACAGUGUUUUGUAACACACACAAUCUCAGGUGCAAAUGGAUCAAAUUUUGCUGUUUCUAGAACAGAAAGAAAGUGGUAGAGCAUCAGUUUCCAGCUUAUGGCUCAUAAAUUAAUACUACACAGACUGCAAAAGAUAGUGGACUGUAGUUCAGUAUGCAUAAAUGUAACUCAAAAUGUUAAGAGGGGAAAAAAAUAGGAAUUACUGAAACCAUCAAAGUUGGAGACUGAAAAAGGAAUACAACAGGCAAAGUGGGACUGAGGCUUAUAUUUAAAACUCACAAAAAGAAAAUAGAUUCAGGAAAACCCCUCAGUUAGGCUUGGAUAUCAAUCCAGUUUUCUACAAAGGAAGAAAAAAACCACUAUUAAGUGCUUAAAGUAAAUAUGGACAUAGAUGGUUACUAAAAUAACAGAAGAGGAAAUCAGAGGUUUGUAAAUGCAAGAACAGAAUGAGGAAGACAAAAUGGUUAGAAGAAAAUAGAUCUAAUUUGACUGGCCAGUUUGACUUCUUGCUGUGUCUGCCUUUACAGUGAUCCAUAGUGCCCCUCCACGAGGACACAUAUCACCUCUCACACCUUUCUGAGACCAAAGGUGACAUGCCAGGAGUUGUCUGAAGCACCCACUGAAGCCUGGGGGUGCGGCUGCUGUGGCACACCUAUGACAAAGCCUUCACGGAGCUUGUCACUUGGUCUGGUCCCUGCUCCACAGGCAGAACCCCUGCACAGGAAGCAGGAGAGAGCCAUGACAUGGGCAGGACAGGAGACUUGUGUUUGUGCCACUGCACAGAGGCCAAACCACCUGCACCCAGUGGUUCACAGACGCAUGAGCACAGCCAGGGAAUUGAUGCAGUCCAGGGAGGAACUGGUAGAGGAAUCUGUUUGAGUCCCCAGCCUCACGUUUUUCCACAUCAAGCCCUGAGAAAUAAGGCACCAGCAGGAAGGGCACUGGAAAGAAAAUGGCUAAAGCAAUAGAGCAGUCAGCUUCACUGGGUUUUCUAAGAACUAGUUAGAGACCAGUUCUUAGAAAAAUCUCUCCUAAGAGAUAUUUGGGUGUUUGCUGGCGUCACAAUAGUAUUAUGAGCAAGUGAAACCACAAAAGUGGUUUAUCACUACUUUUCCUACACUCCUGGUACCUCUCACGUUGCCUAUUUUUUCAGCAUUGUCUGCUGGGCUUUUUGCAACCAUCCACAUGGACAGGUUUAUCUCAAGAAACAGAUGAGCUGCCUUCAUGAACAUCCUAGAAAUGGUUUUGUAUAUCCUCAGGGAUAAAUGUCACAUAGUCUAGGUACACUCAAGCCAGAAAAUGUCUUGAGAUCCCUUCCAAUGCUCCAUAUCCCCAUUUCUGUGAAAUAAUGGCAUGCAUCCACAUACCUGAAAGUAUGUCCAACUACUUAUAAACUCCUUUUAUUUUUCCAAGAAAGGCUUGAAUAUUUUUUAUUUGUUCACAUUUCCAAUAUUUUAUUAUUACUUUCUAAAAAUCCAGUGUAAAAAGGAGAAACGUGGUUUUUAUGAAGCAGAUAUGGGAUUGCCAGUGCAAACUUGGUUUGAUGCAGUUUUGGAUAUCUGGAAUUAUUUGCUAAGUAAAAGAGUUUUACUGUUAUGUGAUACAAUAAAUAUUCCCUUAUGAUACCCUUUAA